UGGCACGCAGCGGCUCUAGCGAUAAGCCAAUCCUCUCCCUUCCCAGAGCCGUAGCGGGCUAGUGGCGACUGACUGGGGUCGGGGUCGGGCGAGGCAUUCCUCCCUCUGCGCUUUGCUGGCAACGACGACGAAUAGGUGCGCGGCUCUCUUUCCCUUCCGUUCCUGCCGUGCGGGGGAGACGCGGCGCCGGCGCCGGCGCCGGCGCCGGCGGUGAGAUGGGGAUUCGUUGCUUGCCGUCAGCCAGGCAGCUGCGUCGUUUUCUGUACGCAGUGCGAGAUGUUUUGUUUGUUGCUUGAUUGGGUAGCCAUGUACAUUUCGUCGGGAGUCGUAUUUGGCUCGAAUAUCAGACCACGCUCAUGUUCACAAUUGACAGCGUUCGUUCAUGCAAGUACCAAGUGCUGUGACAUCAAACUUUCUGGGGCCUACUAGGGGUGAAGUGUGGAUUGGCUUCAGUUUGCGCUUUGCCUGUAUGAACAUAAGCCACUUCUACCCGAACCUGAAAACAAACCAAGCUACUCUUGUCAGUGCAGCCAAGCAAAACAAUGGUGCCUUUAAAUUUUCAUGCAGCUUCCAGUUUUUGUUUGGUAGGAAUACUUGCUUUCGGCAAUUGUUGUAGGUGGAAUACCCACAACAUGAUGGUGUUAAGGAUCUCCUUGCUUUAAUUUAUUUCCUCUAACGAUUUGCCUCUGCUGCGCAGGGUUCUGUAGGGACCGAGAUUCUGGAUACCUCACUCCCUUGAUUCAGAAUGACUCCACUGAGUCAUUGCUCCGUUGGCAAUGUCAGCCUGUUUCACAUCGGAAGCUACAGGACCACCCGAGAAAUCCAG
rnacentral:lncRNA from 1 species